GAGAGGUGCUGCAUGGCUGUCGUCAGCUCGUGUUGUGAAAUGUUGGGUUAAGUCUCGCAACGAGCGCAACCCCUAUCGUCUGUUGCCAGCAUUAAGUUGGGCACUCUGACGAGGCUGCCUGGUUAACCAGGAGGAAGGUGGGGAUGACGUCAAGUCCUCAUGGCCCUUAUGUCUAGGGCUACACACGUAAUACAAUGGCGCGUACAGGGGGAAGCGAACUCGCAAGGGGGAGCAAAUCCCAAAAAGCGCGCCUCAGUUCGGAUUGGAGUCUGCAACUCGACUCCAUGAAGUUGGAAUCGCUAGUA
rnacentral:rRNA from 1 species